rnacentral:rRNA from 1 species
CCUGCAGUCGAGCGGUAGCACAGAGAGCUUGCUCUCGGGUGACGAGCGGCGGACGGGUGAGUAAUGUCUGGGAAACUGCCUGAUGGAGGGGGAUAACUACUGGAAACGGUAGCUAAUACCGCAUAACGUCGCAAGACCAAAGUGGGGGACCUUCGGGCCUCAUGCCAUCAGAUGUGCCCAGAUGGGAUUAGCUGGUAGGUGGGGUAACGGCUCACCUAGGCGACGAUCCCUAGCUGGUCUGAGAGGAUGACCAGCCACACUGGAACUGAGACACGGUCCAGACUCCUACGGGAGGCAGCAGUGGGGAAUAUUGCACAAUGGGCGCAAGCCUGAUGCAGCCAUGCCGCGUGUGUGAAGAAGGCCUUCGGGUUGUAAAGCACUUUCAGCGGGGAGGAAGGCGGUGAGGUUAAUAACCUCAUCGAUUGACGUUACCCGCAGAAGAAGCACCGGCUAACUCCGUGCCAGCAGCCGCGGUAAUACGGAGGGUGCAAGCGUUAAUCGGAAUUACUGGGCGUAAAGCGCACGCAGGCGGUCUGUCAAGUCGGAUGUGAAAUCCCCGGGCUCAACCUGGGAACUGCAUUCGAAACUGGCAGGCUAGAGUCUUGUAGAGGGGGGUAGAAUUCCAGGUGUAGCGGUGAAAUGCGUAGAGAUCUGGAGGAAUACCGGUGGCGAAGGCGGCCCCCUGGACAAAGACUGACGCUCAGGUGCGAAAGCGUGGGGAGCAAACAGGAUUAGAUACCCUGGUAGUCCACGCUGUAAACGAUGUCGAUUUGGAGGUUGUGCCCUUGAGGCGUGGCUUCCGGAGCUAACGCGUUAAAUCGACCGCCUGGGGAGUACGGCCGCAAGGUUAAAACUCAAAUGAAUUGACGGGGGCCCGCACAAGCGGUGGAGCAUGUGGUUUAAUUCGAUGCAACGCGAAGAACCUUACCUGGUCUUGACAUCCACAGAACUUUCCAGAGAUGGAUUGGUGCCUUCGGGAACUGUGAGACAGGUGCUGCAUGGCUGUCGUCAGCUCGUGUUGUGAAAUGUUGGGUUAAGUCCCGCAACGAGCGCAACCCUUAUCCUUUGUUGCCAGCGGUUAGGCCGGGAACUCAAAGGAGACUGCCAGUGAUAAACUGGAGGAAGGUGGGGAUGACGUCAAGUCAUCAUGGCCCUUACGACCAGGGCUACACACGUGCUACAAUGGCAUAUACAAAGAGAAGCGACCUCGCGAGAGCAAGCGGACCUCAUAAAGUAUGUCGUAGUCCGGAUUGGAGUCUGCAACUCGACUCCAUGAAGUCGGAAUCGCUAGUAAUCGUAGAUCAGAAUGCUACGGUGAAUACGUUCCCGGGCCUUGUACACACCGCCCGUCACACCAUGGGAGUGGGUGCAAAAGAAGUAGGUAGCUAACCUCGGGAGGCGCU